rnacentral:lncRNA from 1 species
UGAUGGGGUAUUAUAUACAUCUAAACUGUCAUAUAUAUAUUGAAACUUGAUGAACAUCCUGAUAGCAUUAUUGAGUUGGGCAUAUGAGUAUUCAAUUGUUAAUUGUUGAGAUUUGAAUUACUAUUUUCUUAAUAAGUAUGUCUAUUAAAGAAUUGUUAUCUUUCCAAACUAGCAUGUGUGCUUAAAAAAUUCUUACUGAGCCAUUGGCUCAUAUCAUCAUUUCUAUUUUUUUCAGAGCCAU